GGAAAAAACAUUUGGGUGGCAAAUUUGUAGAUAAGGCUUGGUAAGAUUUAUAAUUAUUAAAUAGUUGAAAAGGUGGGGGACAAGAUAGUCCUUAUACUGUAACUUGCCGAAUUAAUAAAAGGGAUCAAAAACUUUUCCAAAAUGGAAAGCUCUCUCCUCUCUCCUCUCUCCUCUCUCCUCACGCACUCUCCCUCACCGGCAGUCGACGGAACUUCGUUUUCCGGCCACCAUUUUGAUCCUCGUUUGUUCAAAAAGAACCACCACAGCCGCAGAAAGAUAACCCGACCAACCCCACCUCGAACCGUCACCCGUAGCCACCGGAAUCGAGCUUGGAAACUCGUGGCCAACUUGAGGAAUAAGUCACCGAUCCGACCGUUUCCGGUAAUGAAUUCGCAGACCGUCACCACCUUCAUUCUGGCAGAUUACUACCUUCCCAAACCAAAUUCCGACUGAAACAACCCCCGGAGACUGGAGAUCGGUCUCCGGGACAGAAUACGCGUAUAGUGGGACAGGUGAAAGGGAGGAUCAAUCAAGUUUCAAGAAGUGGGCAAUAAUUCAAGACGUGAUUGAUUAGGAUCUUCAGCGGCUCUAAAUCCUCCACAAAUCUUUCAAAAACAAAGCAUCAUCUAUUCUAAUCGAAUCUAAUAUAAUGGGCGAGGCAAGCUUGGAUUGCCGACACCUGUCCUCCAUUGCUAUCCAGGCGAGUUUCAUGAUUUGUCUACCCAUGCGAGGUGGCCUGUUUCUGUUCAAGACUUUUUGAGCUUCUUUGGUGACAAUCUCGGCUUGGGCCCACUUUAAAAUGAAAGCAUCAGAGUCUUUGGCCCACUUUCGUUGUGGAGUGGAAGUGUGGAACUAAGAAAUCAGUGGCACAACACGACAACUCAAGUACUUGAGAACAUGUGUGAUCCAAUGAAAGCAGGCCCAAGUCACGAUCAAUGGUGUUGUUGGCUUGCGACACCUGUCCAAGAAGUGAUGACCCAUUAUGGUUUUAGGUGAAAUUCUUGAAAUUGUUUUAAUCUCAUCCAUUUAUGGAAUCUUAUGGUCUUUUAAAUUGCCACGUCAUAGAGGAUGACACUUUGCAGUAA